rnacentral:rRNA from 1 species
CCGACCUCAAAUCAGGUAGGACUACCCGCUGAACUUAAGCAUAUCAAUAAGCGGAGGAAAAGAAACUAACGAGGAUUCCCCUAGUAACUGCGAGUGAAGCGGGAAAAGCUCAAAUUUAAAAUCCGACGGUCUUUGGCCGUCCGAGUUGUAAUCUGGAGAAGCGUUUUCUGUGUUGGACCGUGUACAAGUCCCUUGGAACAGGGUGUCGCAGAGGGUGAGAAUCCCGUCUUUGACACGGACUACCAAUGCUCUGUGAUACGCUCUCAAAGAGUCGAGUUGUUUGGGAAUGCAGCUCAAAACGGGUGGUAAAUUCCAUCUAAAGCUAAAUAUUGGCGAGAGACCGAUAGCGAACAAGUACCGUGAGGGAAAGAUGAAAAGCACUUUGGAAAGAGAGUUAAACAGUACGUGAAAUUGUUGAAAGGGAAACGCUUGAAGUCAGUCGCGUCGUCCGGGACUCAGCCUUGCUUAUGCUCGGUGCACUUCCCGGUUGACGGGUCAACAUCGAUUUUGGUCGGCGGACAAUGGUGCGAGGAACGUGGCACCUUUGGGUGUGUUAUAGCCUCCCGUCGGAUGCGUCGACUGGGAUCGAGG